GCGGCCAGUGUCUGAGGCUCGCUGCAUCGCGUGUCGCCCUUUUCCGGUUGAUCCUGCCGGAGGCUACUGCUAUCGGGGUCCGACUAAGCCAUGCGAGUUGAGAGGGGUAAGCCCUCGGCAUAUUGCUCAGUAACACGCGGAUAACCUGCCCUUGGGUUCGGGAUAACCCCGGGAAACUGGGACUAAUACCGGAUAGAUCAAAGAAACUGGAAUGUUCUCUGGUCAAAAACUCUGGUGCCCAGGGAUGGGUCUGCGGCCUAUCAGGUAGUAGUGGGUGUAACGUACCUACUAGCCUACGACGGGUAAGGGUUGUGAGAGCAAGAGCCCUGAGAUGGAUUCUGAGACAUGAAUCCAGGCCCUACGGGGUGCAGCAGGCGCGAAAACUUUACAAUGCGGGACACCGCGAUAAGGGGACCCCGAGUGCCAGCACCUAGUGCUGGCUGUCCAGCUGUUCAAAUAACAGUUGUUAGCAAGGGCCGGGCAAGACCGGUGCCAGCCGCCGCGGUAACACCGGCGGCCCGAGUGGUAGCCGUUAUUAUUGGGUUUAAAGGGUCCGUAGCCGGCCUAUUAAGUCUCUUGGGAAAUCUGGCGACUUAAUCGUCAGGCGUCCAAGAGAUACUGGUAGGCUUGGGACCGGGAGAGGUGGGAGGUACUCCAGGGGUAGGGGUGAAAUCUCGUAAUCCUUGGGGGACCACCGAUGGCGAAGGCAUCCCACCAGAACGGGUCCGACGGUGAGGGACGAAAGCUGGGGGCACGAACCGGAUUAGAUACCCGGGUAGUCCCAGCCGUAAACGAUGCUCGCUAGGUGUCAGGUGCGGUGCGACCGCAUCUGGUGCCGCAGUGAAAACUUGAAGCGAGUCACCUGGGAAGUACGGUCGCAAGGCUGAAACUUAAAGGAAUUGGCGGGGGAGCACUACAACGGGUGGAGCCUGCGGUUCAAUUGGAUUCAACGCCGGAAAGCUUACCGGGUCAGACAGCAAUAUGAAGGUCAAGCUAAAGACUUUACCGAAUUCGCUGAGAGGAGGUGCAUGGCCGUCGUCAGUUCGUAUCGUGAGACAUCCUGUUAAGUCAGGCAACGAGCAAGACCCGUGCCCACAGUUGCCAGCAUACCCUCCGGGGUGAUGGGCACACUGUGGGGACCGCCGCUGCUAAAGCGGAGGAAGGUGCGGGCUACGGUAGGUCAGUAUGCCCCGAAUCAUCCGGGCUACACGCGGGCUACAAUGGUUGGGACAAUGGGCACCUACACCGAGAGGUGAUGGUAAUCUCCUAAACCCAGCCUUAGUUCGGAUUGAGGGCUGCAACUCGCCCUCAUGAAGCCGGAAUCCGUAGUAAUCGCGUAUCAAUAUCACGCGGUGAAUACGUCCCUGCUCCUUGCACACACCGCCCGUCAAACCAUGCGAGUGAGGUCUGAAUGAGGGCACGCUUUUUGGCGUGUUCGAAUUUGGGCUUCGCGAGUGGGGUUAAGUCGUAACAAGGUAACCAAGGGCGACACGCGAUGCAGUCAAUACUGACGA
rnacentral:rRNA from 1 species